UCGUCUGUAGCUGUUGCAAUAAGUUAUCAAGCACGGCUAAGCCUUUGUUCCGACUGAAGUGCGGAAUACAAGUAUGCUUGCACAACCUUCUCGUCUGGCUCGAGUUUCAGACUCUACCCAAACUGUACCCAAACUGGCAAAGUUCUGGCAAAGUUAUCACACCUUCUCGCAUUUCUCAGACACCGGCGGAGAUUGGCAUACCGCAGCAAAAGAAGCUGACCACCAUACUGUCCGAGGUGGAGUCGAGCAAAUGCAGGUCAGAGGAACGAGGAACGAGGGAGGACCUUUCCUAGGUUUUCCGUUACUAGUGGCUGCAGGGGAAGGAGAGGUCGGAGAAGAUGGCCAACGAAAUGGUAGUGGACGUGAGCAAGUUGCUCAAGUUUUGUGCUGAGCCUGUUACAUCGGAGGCCUCAAGAGGAACUUGCUCCUGGCUUACGGCUCAAAGACGACGGCAAAGCUGGACACUUUCGAGUCUGCCCUCAAGUACUUGAGAGUGGAUGAGUCUGUAUAUCAGAACUCCAUCAGGAUGUCGGAGACCACCUGGCGAAAGGACAAGGCCAGGAAACGAGCCACCCGUGGACGUUGUGGCCCUCAUCGAGUUUCCUGUCCUCAGAAGCGUGGCCAACGACUGCUUCCUCAACUUAGUGAUAAGUUGCUGGUUGCUGAACCUGUGCACCACCUUCACAGAUGCACAUAUUAACUCAGUACUUUUCCCCCCUACAGAUGGCCCCGCAGCCGCCAUGGCCGAGUGGAGCAAGAGGCAGUACACCAAGACGCAGGCAGUACACCAACGACAGUGGUAAUGGUCAAAGAGGUCAAAGACAUCAGUGGCAAGGUGCUGCAAGUGUGUCCUCAGGGUGAACAUGUCAGUUCGCCCACAGCAGAUUCAAGACCAUGACCAUCUGUUCCAUGACCAUCUGUUCGAUCUGGCCCGUAUGACAAGUUCACCCAGAGUCCAACUGCUGCUACCAGCGGCUGCUACCAGCGUCCGGCACGAGGACAGCGCUAGACACCUGGCGCACAGACUCAAAUUACUACCAAACAAUAUCAAAUCCCCGACUAAGAUGCACCACCUGCUAAGAAGAAGAAGGCAAAGAGGAAAUCACCACCACCACCACCACCACCACAGAGCGAAGACUGGCUAGACCAACACCUACUUGGGAGGAAAGUAGGAAAGUACGAAGACGACAACGCUGACGAUGAGACGGAGACAAUCUCUACUCUAAAUCAACUGCACAGCAAAUACAGUUUCAGUUUCCAACUUGUACACUAUCUUGGACAUCCCUGCUAGCUAGCCAUUAUUCUAUUCAGCCAUUAUUCUAUUCUCAAGCUAAAGCCUAUUAUUCUCAGUGAUUCAGCUCUAUUGUUAUUCUUCAUUAUAAAAAUCAUAACAUGAGUGAAGAUUCAACAUAAUCUUGAAGGGCAUUCUCUUGUUAAUCACCAAACGAAUUAUUUAGCAAGGAAAAAACCCUUUCUGAUGCAGCAGAUGACGGCUGUAUUAGGAAUAUUCUUCUUGCUGCAGCACCACUCUAAAAUGUUAAACUCUAAAAUGUUAAACUGUUCGUUAGUAUAUUCUACCUUGAGUUCAUUUAGCUGUUGCAUUGAGUGGCUUUCAAGAAGGGUACUGGUUUGUUUACUAUCGGACACAAAACCUCAACUCAAGGCGGCAAGUGAUGACAGUGCUUCUAUGCUCACUUCAGAGAUGGAUGUUGCGUCAAACCUAUCCCAAUCGCUGGGAGCUGGAAUAGCAUAUCCCUCUUCUCAAGAAAAUGAGUAUUAUCACUUCUUGUGCAUACCAAUUUCGUGUUAGAUUAAAUGUGUUAGAUUAAAUGUGCAAUUGGGCUUGGUCACAUCUCAAGACAACUUAAGAAACGUCUAUUUCUCCAGAGGUUGUGGAGUUUGGCACCCAUUCAGCAAAACCUUGAGCAGUCUAAAAUUGAAGUGUUUUUUUGUAGGCAUUUCAAGCAUUUCAAGAGGAAAGAUUGUCUACAAUAGAAAAGGCUGUAAAAAGAAAAAUGGAGCACAAGGUGGCAGUGAAAGAGAAAGACGUGGUACAUUUUUAUUCCUAUUAUUUUUAGUACGAAGGAGUCAACUUGUUGGGGCUCAUAUCAAAAGACGCUCACUUGACAGUCGUUAGGUUUUGACCAAGGAAAAUUGAUUGAUCUCAUCACUCAACCAAAACGCCGAGAUGCAAAAGUCAAAAGUAGUAGUAGUUAUUGAUGAAGUGAAGUGAAAGUUGAAACUACAAGGACGUAACGUAAAUAUCCCGCUCCUUUAAGAUCUUAACCCUUUAACCGUCGGAUUCUUAAUUAACAGUGAAGUGAAAUGUCUGUCCAGAGAUGCCUAGCAACAUACAACAAGGAGGUGCAACAUGUGUUGCCAUAACAACCACGGUUACCGUUUUUAUCAUUUUAAAUGCUCGGCCAGCGGUGAGAUAAAAUCC